rnacentral:rRNA from 1 species
CGGGUUGUAAAGCUCUUUCGGCAGGAACGAAAUGGUUCGUGCUAAUAACCACGGAUUGAUGACGGUACCUGAAGAAGAAGCACCCGGCUAACUACGUGC